rnacentral:misc_RNA from 1 species
ACAACCUUCGUGAAGCGCCAC